rfam:Drosophila virilis strain TSC#15010-1051.87 Ctg01_17174, whole genome shotgun sequence.
GAGCUGGCUAUGUGAGAAAAUGUUUUGCACAAGUCGAAAACCAAAAGUAUAAAGGUAAAUGGGUGAAAUGCUAAAGAAAAUCAACUCAACGAGCAACAACAGAGAGG